AAUAUUUCGGAAACUGAUUAGAAUGGAUUUACCUACUUUCGCUUUCAGAUAAGAUAUGGAUGUACAUACAUGUAUCAGGUGACGGUUAGACUACAGGUCAGUUGCUAUAUCAGACAUAAAAACCGGUGAUAUCUGGUGAAUUAUUUCGGUAAUCAUGUCAGUAUCGCCAUCGGGGCGGUCACCAUGGGGAUUUGAAGGGGAGGGUCACAGCGCCUGGACUAAACAGGUGGAGUUAGCAGGCCUUACUGCUGACACUACAGCAAGCUCAGCUGACUCAGAAGACAAAAAGAAAGAAAUAUCAAGAAAACAUUGGAAAACUCCGGGCUCCAAUUGUUCUAACAAGGAUUGUAAAGUGAAAUUGUCUCUGAUACAAAGAGCUCACCAUUGUCGCAGAUGUGGAGGAACAUUCUGUGAGAACUGCCUUCAAUACAAAAGAAGACUUAACCAUCUGGCCAACCCUGAUCCUGAUGGGAAACGGUACAAGGUAUGUCAGCAGUGCUUUGUGGAGGGCAAAGAUAACCAGGGGGUCAUUGUCAGCAUGACCAGCACAUUUCUGGAGCUACGAACACAGAUCAAGGUGGUGCAAAACACUUCAGAAACGGCAACCAAGGACAGGUCAUGGAGAAAUAGAUUUGACUUAGAAGUAGAGUGUAAGCGAUUAAUCACUGGAUUUAAGCUAGCGGUGGGAAACUCAGAGUUAAAGAGAUCGCUACACGAGGUGAAGACUCUCAUUGCUGUGCCUAACUGGCAGAAGUCAACAUACUGGAUGAUGGAAGUCAAGGCAGAAUCAUGUCAAACAUGUAAAUCAAAGUUUUCCUUGAUGCGAAAAAAGCAUCACUGCCGACUGUGUAGUAGGGGCCUGUGCAAGUCCUGUUCUUCUAAAGACUUACUUGUGUAUAUUCCUGAUGAGGAGCGGUCAAACCAGACUGAACCUAGACUGGCCAUCAUCAAAAUCAAUGGGAGUCCUACUGUGGAGCCGGAGGUGUCGCUGUAUCUGAGGAUUUGUAAGGCGUGCCAGGAAAAAAUGGUUGAUCGGCAGAUGAACAAAGUGGAAAAAGAAUUUAUGGAACAAAGAAGUCAGGAUGUCUUCACAGAUUUGAUUAUGCUCCAUACAGCAGUGGAGAAAAUCAAAGAAACUGCUGCUAGGCAGCUGACAGAGUACCAGGUCAUCGUGGAGUCACUUGAGGACAAUUCGUCUCAUGAAAACAGCGAUAGUAAAAGUAACAUCAAAACACUCGCUAAAUCGCAGGAAGACGUAGCUGACUACCUGUCUCAACUUGUGGUAAAAAUUCAACAUCUGAAGAAAUUGAAGCCAGAGUCCAAUUCUCAAGCCAUUCUGUUUAAAAAUUGUCUGAAGAGUAACUGUGACUUUUACUUUGAAAACCUUCACCAGUUCCGUUAUCAGACCAGGAAACUGAGUGAAUCAGCACCACCUAAUGUGUUAGAGAUAAUACAAAGAACAGUCGACACACAUGAUUUCCAACAUGGGACUUUGUAAUAGUACCGGUAAGGAAAAUGAAGAACAAAGAAGGUAAAAGAUCAUCCUUUGAUGAUCUGAUAAAUAUCCUUUUAUGUUGCAGGACAAUCUGCCGUUGAAUUUGUGAGCUGUUGGUCGUCUAUAUUAACAUCAAGACAAUUAUAAGAUGCCAUGAUCUACAUUGAAGAAAAUAAACACUGAUCAACUUUGGAUAUAAACUUGAUAUUUGUGAGAUUGAUCUGAAAUAUUGUGACGUAUAAGUUUGAUUAAAGUUGCUUCAAUCCGGCUCUGAUGUCUCAAGAAACUUUAGCCUAGAUUUUUUUUCUUUCUUCUGAAAGUCAUGUUUCUCGUUAUAAUUUGCUUGAUAAAACUAAUUUCGUCGUUGUUUAAACAAUUUAUCUCAUGUUUGUGAAAAAGUAUUGAGUAAUUAAAAUACUUUCAUAAAAUUGCAUAGGUCAAGUUUUUAUUCAGAUCUACGUUUUUGAAUUAAAAAAAAGUAAUGCCAUGACAAAUCUAGAGACACAAGUGUUGUUGAAAUAAAGAGAUUUGCAGUAAUUAGGUACGUUUCAAAAUUGGUUCAAAAUGUCUUUCAAAUCUAUUUGCCACCAGUAUGUGGACUUUACUGGUUUUGGCUGUGAUAUCUCCGCCUUGAUACUUGACUUAUCCCAGUGAUACCUGUAUCAUACAAGCCUAUUAUAUUACACACUUCAUUGACCAAUUACCUGGAGGAUAUACCUCGUAUGGAAGCAAUGCUAUGAAUUAUGAACUAGAACAAAUAUGGCCAGAUUGCUGUAACGUGAAAACAUGUCAACCAACUUGAUGGGCAGUAUUCAAGUAGACGAGUGUUUUUCAAUCUCUAUCACAGCACUGGGGUCGAUUAACAGGUAAUGCGUAUUGUGAACGAUUUAUGUAAUAACCUGUUGUUGUUUGCUUUUAUUCUUUAAGAUAUCUUUACUAGUUUUGAAUAUUCUCGUACCAUUUGUCUUUUUCACUCCAACUGGUUCAAGACUAUUGCCCGGUAAGGGAGAACGAUUGUGCCUGUGGGGGAUAUUGUGUGAUGAUGACGUCUGGGUCAUUGUGGUUUUGACCACGUCAGUAAGUAGCAAAGCUGACCAUCUGCAGGUAUUAAUUAGAAUGUGUACAUUUGAAAAUUAAUCUGACGUUACGUUGAGAAGACAGAAAUGAUUGUUAAAGGUUCUGCGUUGGGCAGUAGUACUUUUGGUUGGUACUAGCUCAUCAAAGAAACAUUUAAAGCUAUAUGUAUACAAGGAUGAUAUACAUCGAGUGAAUAUUAUUCACCAGAUAACUUUGAGUAAUUAAUAUCUGUUUUAAGUCAAGGUAUACCCCUGUGAGUAUGACAAAGCGUCGCCUAAGCUUUUUUCAACUGUUAAAUUCUUCAUUUAUAACAUAUUACUCUGUGCCAAGGUAAACAUGUUUAAUAUCAAAACAUUUACUGAACUGGAGAAAAAAAAUGAAUCUAAUAAAAUGGUCCCCUCAGAGAAAACAUGCUCCAUUAAGAGAUCAUGUUAAAUUAUGGAUUUUAAACAUAAAAACUUAGCCUGGAUAUUGUGUGUAGUAGGUUCGAUACUAGCUUUUCUCAAAGUGUAUGUUCGUCAUUUAAUGGAACCCAGCUACAUGUAUGAGAUUUGAAUGUCUGCCAUAAUUGAAGUUUUGUUGAUUAUGUUUCCUUGUUCGUUUGUGAUAUAUAUUUUCUCGAAUUUGAAGGGAGAUGUCACGAUGGACACGACAAGGGGCAGAGGAAGUUUACCUCCGUUUGUUUGUUCUCUUAUUUGUUUUUUCUCGGUUCCAUGUGUUGUAUUGUUCGUGGGGUCUGGUAGUGUCUGUGGGUGUAUUCAUUCAGAUUGGUAUAUUUCCGGUCACCAGAGCCAUCUUUGUCAUUCACCGUUUUCGCAGUUGGUAGACAAACUGUCCGAUGAGGGUACUGUGCCUCUUGUUUGCACUUCACGUCUCAACAAUUCUUUCUGAAACUGUACCUACAAAUGUAUUACUUCUGCUUCAUAUAUUGGAUUUUUUUUAUUUCGCCUGCUUGAUCAAAAACUAAUACAAAUAUCUACCAUUGUGUGCCAUGACCCCUCUGAGUUUGUAUACGUAGGUGCUGGAAAUGUAGAGGAUUGAGUGUGUCUUGAGGUUGUAAAGUAUGUGUAUUAACGUUUAGGGUAAAGGGCCCUCUUCCAAUAUGUUAUAUACAACAUUCCGCUUGUUCAAAUUCGGCUUAGCUUAAAGCGUCAUAUAAAUCUUCAGUAUCCAAUUUUUUCUGAAAUAUAUUAAAAUUCAAACUUACAACUGUAUUUGUGUGUCCUGUCUGUAGGUGAUCAAUCUUGUUUAGUUUCUGACGUUCUAUAAUGUUUAAUAUGUACAAGAUAAAACUGUUGAAUUGUCUUUAAGCUGAUAUUAUCUCUAGCUCUUUGAACAACUUGGCAUGUAAAAGGAGCAGCAUUAUUAUAACAUUUUCUUUGCUACAUUUAGGCGAUAGUAAGUACCCAGUUGUACAUCCGACAGCUGAUUUACGAAUCCAUACAUUUGUCAGAGACACACAAGGUGAUUACUGGCGAGA